rnacentral:rRNA from 1 species
GGCGGCGUGCUUAAUACAUGCAAGUCGAACGAGGUUGAGUCAGUGGCAACACUGACGACUGCCUAGUGGCGAACGGGUGAGUAACACGUGAGAAACCUGCCCCGAAGACCGGGAUAACCCUCCGAAAGGAGAGCUAAUACCGGAUACCCCCGCCGAACCGCAUGGCUCGGUGAGGAAAUGGAUUCCGCUUCGGGAGGGUCUCGCGGCCUAUCAGCUUGUUGGUGGGGUAACGGCCCACCAAGGCAUCGACGGGUAGCUGGUCUGAGAGGACGAUCAGCCACACUGGGACUGAGACACGGCCCAGACUCCUACGGGAGGCAGCAGUAGGGAAUCUUGCGCAAUGGGCGAAAGCCUGACGCAGCAACGCCGCGUGGGGGAUGAAGGCUCUCGGGUUGUAAACCCCUUUCAGUGGGGACGAAUCAAGACGGUACCCACAGAAGAAGCUCCGGCUAACUACGUGCCAGCAGCCGCGGUAACACGUAGGGGGCAAGCGUUGUCCGGAUUUAUUGGGCGUAAAGAGCUCGUAGGUGGUUCGGUAAGUCGGGUGUUAAACCCCCAGGCUCAACCUGGGGACGCCACUCGAUACUGCUGUGACUAA